UGGAUGCCUCANGNGCCCUGCAUCUUGGGCUCAUAAUCUGANUUCCUGACGGCAGGCCUAACACAUGCAAGUCGAGCGGCAGCGGAAAGUAGCUCGCUACUUUGCCGGCGAGCGGCGGACGGGUGAGUAAUGUCUGGGAAACUGCCUGAUGGAGGGGGAUAACUACUGGAAACGGUAGCUAAUACCGCAUAACGUCGCAAGACCAAAGAGGGGGACCUUCGGGCCUCUUGCCAUCAGAUGUGCCCAGAUGGGAUUAGCUAGUAGGCGGGGUAACGGCUCACCUAGGCGACGAUCCCUAGCUGGUCUGAGAGGAUGACCAGCCACACUGGAACUGAGA
rnacentral:rRNA from 1 species